UCCAGCUCUCUGGAGUGAGAGUUGAGCAGCCUUACAUGCUCACUAGUGCCAUUCCAAAUCCUAUGGAGAAGGGCAAAAGGACUUUGAGGUCUGUCACAAGGAAGAGGCAGCACAGCUGCUCAAGGAAUGCUGUCCCACUAGGAAAGGCAGCUGAAGUGAAGAGGGAGGUGAACUUCAUCUGCUGGCUUUUACUGGCCAUGGUAUCAAGCUGUCAGUGA
rnacentral:lncRNA from 14 species